UACUUCGGUUGAGGGGCCACAACCCGCGUGAAUCUCUGAAAUAUGACCGUCGCUACGAGCCUUGUUUUAGAAGAAUGGAUCUUCUUCAGUUUGUGCUCAACUUUAAAGGGACACCAUCAUGGCUGAACUUGACGGCCAUUACCGCCCUUACGGACCGUUGGAGGCCAGCGACACACUCUUUUCACCUUGCUCUUGGUGAGAUGACUUUGGAGGAUAUUGCGAUGAUCUCUAGGCUUCCGAUCAAGGGCAGGGCUCUUACCGCAAGGUGAAGUCUGAUGGGUGGUGACAAUGGGUUGCAAGAUUGGUUGGUGUUGAACCUCCCCCGUGGAUUCAUGAAACAAAGAAGGAUCCUAGGCCAUCCGGUGUGUUGUUCUCGUGGCUACAAGAACAUUUUUAUGAGUGCCCAGAGGAUGCUAGUCUGACUGUUGUGGAGAGGUACGCCAGGGUUUACUUAUGGAAUCUUUUGGCCCAAGUGGUGUUUCCGGAUGGCACGGGGGACACAGCCUCAUGGAUGUUCUUGGACCCUCUUCGUGACUCGGAUGUAAGUGGAGUUGGGGGUCGGCUGCACUAGCCUUCUUGUACUGUCAGGUAAUGCUUACUAUGAUGCACUUUCGUUAUAUGAAAUAGAUGUUUGCAUGUGAUCGUUUAAGGUUUGUACAAAUGUGCAGUUGGACGAAGCAUGUAUGAGGAGUAAGCCGAAAUCUUGUCUAGGUGGUUUCGUUUGGCCCUACAGAUUUAGAUGUGGGAGUGUAUCCCUGUAGGCUGUAACGUCAAUAUUGCUCCGGAAGAACCUUGGGAGUGGCCUUUUAAUGGGGAUGAGGAGCGGUACCCCACUAUCGCAUACACAUGGGCAAAUGUCCAAGUGUCGAGUAUCGUCGCCAUGGGGCGGUACAAGGCAUACAUAAGCGAGCUUGACAUGCUGAGUUAUAAUCAGGUCAAUUGGAGGCCGUACAUGGUACUUAAGCAGUUCCUUUGAGCAAUAUGUGCCUUUGUGACAAACAUCUUUGGCGUGUGUGGUGCCCCUUGAUAUGCUUUCUUGCGGUUGAGUGACAUCUUCCACAUCGUGUUUCAAAGCAAUUUGGAGUACAACAACGCACCCCGCUGGACUACGCUGAGACAAGUGUGCUACUACAUAGGACGAGCCGGCAAAACAACAAGAAUGUCACGAGCUGGGAGGAUCACCACCUUAUGUGGGUGGACAUGUGAAAUGCUUAGAGGAAUGCUCGAGUUGAAAAUGAUCGUCAGGGCACCGGCGGCGGGGCCAUCAGCGUCGACGGGCGGGAGGCGGGCGGGCGGGAGUCGGCUGGUCGCGCGGAAGACAAUUGAGCGGUAGUUGGGCAGUUGGCGGGCGGUUGCGUCUUUUCUCUCAUAUGGUGGAGAUGCAAAUUUGCAUCGCGAGGUGUUGCAGUUUACAUCUCCAGAAGGCAAAGAUGUAAUAUAUUUUUUACAUCUACGUCAUCUGUUGGAGAGGUGUUUUUGGACAUCGGAUAUGCGAAAUGUAGUUAUUUUUGCAUAUACCAAUAGAUGCU